UUGAAGGUUGGGUAACACUAACUGGAGGACCGAACCGACUAAUGUUGAAAAAUUAGCGGAUGACCUGUGGCUGGGGGUGAAAGGCCAAUCAAACCGGGAGAUAGCUGGUUCUCCCCGAAAGCUAUUUAGGUAGCGCCUCGUGAAUUCAUCUCCGGGGGUAGAGCACUGUUUCGGCCAGGGGGCCAUCCCGGCUUACCAAUCCGAUGCAAACUGCGAAUACCGGAGAAUGUUAUCACGGGAGACACACGGCGGGUGCUAACGUCCGUCGUGAAGAGGGAAACAACCCAGACCGCCAGCUAAGGUCCCAAAGUCAUGGUUAAGUGGGAAACGAUGUGGGAAGGCCCAGACAGCCAGGAUGUUGGCUUAGAAGCAGCCAUCAUUUAAAGAAAGCGUAAUAGCUCACUGGUCGAGUCGGCCUGCGCGGAAGAUGUAACGGGGCUAAACCAUGCACCGAAGCUGCGGCAGCGACACUGAUGUGUUGUUGGGUAGGGGAGCGUUCUGUAAGCCGUUGAAGGUGUGUCGUGAGGCAUGCUGGAGGUAUCAGAAGUGCGAAUGCUGACAUAAGUAACGAUAAAGCGGGUGAAAAGCCCGCUCGCCGGAAGACCAAGGGUUCCUGUCCAACGUUAAUCGGGGCAGGGUGAGUCGACCCCUAAGGCGAGGCCGAAAGGCGUAGUCGAUGGGAAACGGGUUAAUAUUCCCGUACUUGGUGUUACUGCGAAGGGGGGACGGAGAAGGCUAUGUUGGCCGGGCGACGGUUGUCCCGGUUUAAGCGUGCAGGUGUGUGUUCCAGGUAAAUCCGGUUCACUUUAACACUGAGGCGUGACGACGAGGCACCACGGUGCUGAAGCAACAAAUGCCCUGCUUCCAGGAAAAGCCUCUAAGCCUCAGGUAACAUCAAAUCGUACCCCAAACCGACACAGGUGGUCAGGUAGAGAAUACCAAGGCGCUUGAGAGAACUCGGGUGAAGGAACUAGGCAAAAUGGUGCCGUAACUUCGGGAGAAGGCACGCUGACACGUAGGUGAAGUGGUUUACCCAUGGAGCUGAAGUCAGUCGAAGAUACCAGCUGGCUGCAACUGUUUAUUAAAAACACAGCACUGUGCAAACACGAAAGUGGACGUAUACGGUGUGACGCCUGCCCGGUGCCGGAAGGUUAAUUGAUGGGGUCAGCGCAAGCGAAGCUCCUGAUCGAAGCCCCGGUAAACGGCGGCCGUAACUAUAACGGUCCUAAGGUAGCGAAAUUCCUUGUCGGGUAAGUUCCGACCUGCACGAAUGGCGUAAUGAUGGCCAGGCUGUCUCCACCCGGGACUCAGUGAAAUUGAACUCGCUGUGAAGAUGCAGUGUACCCGCGGCAAGACGGAAAGACCCCGUGAACCUUUACUAUAGCUUGACACUGAACACUGGUCCUUGAUGUGCAGGAUAGGUGGGAGGCUUUGAAGUGUGGACGCCAGUCUGCAUGGAGCCAUCCUUGAAAUACCACCCUUUAAUGGCUGGUGUUCUAACGUGGGCCCCUGACCGGGGUUGCGGACAGUGUCUGGUGGGUAGUUUGACUGGGGCGGUCUCCUCCUAAAGAGUAACGGAGGAGCACGAAGGUUGGCUAAUCCUGGUCGGACAUCAGGAGGUUAGUGCAAUGGCAUAAGCCAGCUUGACUGCGAGCGUGACGGCGCGAGCAGGUGCGAAAGCAGGUCAUAGUGAUCCGGUGGUUCUGAAUGGAAGGGCCAUCGCUCAACGGAUAAAAGGUACUCCGGGGAUAACAGGCUGAUACCGCCCAAGAGUUCAUAUCGACGGCGGUGUUUGGCACCUCGAUGUCGGCUCAUCACAUCCUGGGGCUGAAGUAGGUCCCAAGGGUAUGGCUGUUCGCCAUUUAAAGUGGUACGCGAGCUGGGUUUAGAACGUCGUGAGACAGUUCGGUCCCUAUCUGCCGUGGGCGCUGGAAGAUUGAGGGGGGCUGCUCCUAGUACGAGAGGACCGGAGUGGACGCAUCACUGGUGUUCGGGUUGUCAUGCCAAUGGCACUGCCCGGUAGCUACAUGCGGAAGAGAUAAGUGCUGAAAGCAUCUAAGCACGAAACUUGCCCCGAGAUGAAUCUUCCCUGAGCCUUUAAGGCUCCUGAAGGAACGUUGAAGACGACGACGUUGAUAGGCCGGGUGUGUAAGCGCAGCGAUGCGUUGAGCUAACCGGUACUAAUGAACCGUGAGGCUUAACCUUACAACGCCGAAG
rnacentral:rRNA from 1 species